GACGAACGCUGGCGGCGUGCUUAACACAUGCAAGUCGAACGGAAAGGCCCUGCUUUUGUGGGGUGCUCGGGUGGCGAACGGGUGAGUAACACGUGAGUAACCUGCCCUUGACUUUGGGAUAACUUCAGGAAACUGGGGCUAAUACCGGAUAGGAGCUCCUGCUGCAUGGUGGGGGUUGGAAAGUUUCGGCGGUUGGGGAUGGACUCGCGGCUUAUCAGCUUGUUGGUGGGGUAGUGGCUUACCAAGGCUUUGACGGGUAGCCGGCCUGAGAGGGUGACCGGCCACAUUGGGACUGAGAUACGGCCCAGACUCCUACGGGAGGCAGCAGUGGGGAAUAUUGCACAAUGGGCGGAAGCCUGAUGCAGUAACGCCGCGUGCGGGAUGACGGCCUUCGGGUUGUAAACCGCUUUCGCCUGUGACGAAGCGUGAGUGACGGUAAUGGGUAAAGAAGCACCGGCUAACUACGUG
rnacentral:rRNA from 1 species